rnacentral:lncRNA from 1 species
UUUUAUGAGGCAGGGGUUUUUCACAAGAUCUUUUCUUUUUACCUCUCCUCCUCUUUUUCUUAAUGUUCUCCUUCCUUAACCUUCUCCUUUUCUUUUUCUUUUCUUUCUUAAUUUUCACUUUCUUUCUCUUUUUUUCUUUUCUUUCCACCACGACAUUUCCUUUCUCAUCCUUCUUCUAACUCUCAUUCAACUUUUCUGUUUCUAUCUCCUCUAUCUUUUUCGCAACAACAACUUUUUCUGUUUUUGUUUCCUCUUCCAACAUCUCUCGCUCUUCUUCUUCUUUCUUUUCCUCAUUGAGAACCUUAUCAUGUGCAAAGAUAGUGCUUGACAUUCUUCUUUAGGUUUGACUUCAAUAUCAACCUUAAUAAUGCCCAAAGCCUUCAGGGCAUGAGAGUGUUGUUCCUGCAAUAAACGUGCUUGUGUUUCCCCCAAAGUUUCUUUGCGUACAGGAGAUUUUUUUUGUCGUAGACGCUGGUAGGAUUCUCCCAACGUUUCUUUUGGUCCAGGGACUACGUACUGCCGCAAGAAUUUUUGGACGUCCCCCAAUGCUUCUUCUGGUACAGAGAAUAAUUCCUGCUGCUAACGUUCUUUAACUUCCCCU